UACUCCUACCCGGGAGGCAGCAGUAGGGAAUCUUCCGCAAUGGACGAAAGUCUGACGGAGCAACGCCGCGUGAGUGAUGAAGGCUUUCGGGUCGUAAAACUCUGUUGUUAGGGAAGAACAAGUACGAGAGUAACUGCUCGUACCUUGACGGUACCUAACCAGAAAGCCACGGCUAACUACGUGCCAGCAGCCGCGGUAAUACGUAGGUGGCAAGCGUUAUCCGGAAUUAUUGGGCGUAAAGCGCGCGCAGGCGGUUUCUUAAGUCUGAUGUGAAAGCCCACGGCUCAACCGUGGAGGGUCAUUGGAAACUGGGGAACUUGAGUGCAGAAGAGAAAAGCGGAAUUCCACGUGUAGCGGUGAAAUGCGUAGAGAUGUGGAGGAACACCAGUGGCGAAGGCGGCUUUUGGUCUGUAACUGACGCUGAGCGCUAGCUGCC
rnacentral:rRNA from 1 species